AGCAGUUUUGUGUAUGUUGCUAGCUGAAUGACAGGGCAAUUGCCGAAUUACCUGACGGAGUGGAUGCAAAUAAUACGCAGAAGCAAAUUCAGUAUGUCGGAUAUGGAUAUAACCAACCGUGGUACCUUCAAGGAGAGCAACAAGAUCUACAAGGACACCAAGUUUGGAGAAGUCUAUGUAAUGGACCAAGAAGAAGCAGAUGACAGAAUGUAUAACUGGCUCCUGGUGGGCGACCCACCGCUGACAUUACC